GCACACGUCAUGGUGUAAAUUUAAAGUUUAUCAAUAUUGAUAAUUUAUUCAGUUGGCAUUCGGGUUAGCCAUCUCAUUUUAAGUAUAAUGUGCAGUAAUAGAGAAUUCACAUGGGUAAAUAUUAAAGAACUAGAAAGUUCUUUACGAAUUCUCUUAUAUUUCUUUUUCUCAUUAAUUGAUUGACCAACUAAAGAGUUCGGGUUGAAUCCCAUAAAUUCUGUAUAUAUCAAAGGUGAAUAUGGGCCCAUUCACCUGCCAUGUAUACCAC
rnacentral:lncRNA from 1 species